rnacentral:rRNA from 1 species
GACGAACGCUGGCGGCGUGCUUAACACAUGCAAGUCGAACGGAAAGACCCUGCUUUUGUGGGGUGCUCGAGUGGCGAACGGGUGAGUAACACGUGAGUAACCUGCCCUUGACUUUGGGAUAACUUCAGGAAACUGGGGCUAAUACCGGAUAGGAGCUCCUGCUGCAUGGUGGGGGUUGGAAAGUUUCGGCGGUUGGGGAUGGACUCGCGGCUUAUCAGCUUGUUGGUGGGGUAGUGGCUUACCAAGGCUUUGACGGGUAGCCGGCCUGAGAGGGUGACCGGCCACAUUGGGACUGAGAUACGGCCCAGACUCCUACGGGAGGCAGCAGUGGGGAAUAUUGCACAAUGGGCGGAAGCCUGAUGCAGCAACGCCGCGUGCGGGAGGACGGCCUUCGGGUUGGAAACCGCUUUCGCCUGUGACGAAGCGUGAGUGACGGUAAUGGGUAAAGAAGCACCGGCUAACUACGU